UUGUUAUCGAUGCAUACAUCAUUUCGCAAAUAUCGAUUAUAACAUUAUCGAUGUCUGCAUAAUAUGCCGCUUUCUUUUAAAUUGUGACAAGCAGUUUCUUCUAAUCAAUUUUAAUUUGACACAAAUUUGAAAAACAACAAAGCUAACCUAGUUAAAACUCCUCUUUUUGAAAACUCUCUUCUUCUGGAGCUGUAACGCCCUGCGCAGUUGAUCUUCUGCUGAGUCGGAUCCACCGGUAGCUUUAAUGGCUUCUGAAAAUGCGUUUAAAUAAAAUAUAAUCUAAAAAUGA